rnacentral:rRNA from 1 species
GAAUAUUGGACAAUGGGCGAAAGCCUGAUCCAGCCAUGCCGCGUGAGUGAUGAAGGCCUUAGGGUUGUAAAGCUCUUUUGGCGGGGACGAUAAUGACGGUACCCGCAGAAUAAGUCCCGGCUAACUUCGUGCCAGCAGCCGCGGUAAUACGAAGGGGACUAGCGUUGUUCGGAAUCACUGGGCGUAAAGCGCACGUAGGUGGAUUUGUAAGUCAGGGGUGAAAUCCCGGGGCUCAACCUCGGAACUGCCUUUGAUACUGCGGAUCUUGAGUCCGAUAGAGGUGGGUGGAAUUCCUAGUGUAGAGGUGAAAUUCGUAGAUAUUAGGAAGAACACCGGUGGCGAAGGCGGCCCACUGGAUCGGUACUGACACUGAGGUGCGAAAGCGUGGGGAGCAAACAG